GACGAACGCUGGCGGCGUGCCUAAUACAUGCAAGUAGAACGCUGAAGAGAGGAGCUUGCUCUUCUUGGAUGAGUUGCGAACGGGUGAGUAACGCGUAGGUAACCUGCCUUGUAGCGGGGGAUAACUAUUGGAAACGAUAGCUAAUACCGCAUAACAAUGGAUGACACAUGUCAUUUAUUUGAAAGGGGCAAUUGCUCCACUACAAGAUGGACCUGCGUUGUAUUAGCUAGUAGGUGAGGUAACGGCUCACCUAGGCGACGAUACAUAGCCGACCUGAGAGGGUGAUCGGCCACACUGGGACUGAGACACGGCCCAGACUCCUACGGGAGGCAGCAGUAGGGAAUCUUCGGCAAUGGGGGCAACCCUGACCGAGCAACGCCGCGUGAGUGAAGAAGGUUUUCGGAUCGUAAAGCUCUGUUGUAAGUCAAGAACGAGUGUGAGAGUGGAAAGUUCACACUGUGACGGUAGCUUACCAGAAAGGGACGGCUAACUACGUGCCAGCAGCCGCGGUAAUACGUAGGUCCCGAGCGUUGUCCGGAUUUAUUGGGCGUAAAGCGAGCGCAGGCGGUUUGAUAAGUCUGAAGUUAAAGGCUGUGGCUCAACCAUAGUUCGCUUUGGAAACUGUCAAACUUGAGUGCAGAAGGGGAGAGUGGAAUUCCAUGUGUAGCGGUGAAAUGCGUAGAUAUAUGGAGGAACACCGGUGGCGAAAGCGGCUCUCUGGUCUGUAACUGACGCUGAGGCUCGAAAGCGUGGGGAGCGAACAGGAUUAGAUACCCUGGUAGUCCACGCCGUAAACGAUGAGUGCUAGGUGUUGGAUCCUUUCCGGGAUUCAGUGCCGCAGCUAACGCAUUAAGCACUCCGCCUGGGGAGUACGACCGCAAGGUUGAAACUCAAAGGAAUUGACGGGGGCCCGCACAAGCGGUGGAGCAUGUGGUUUAAUUCGAAGCAACGCGAAGAACCUUACCAGGUCUUGACAUCCCGAUGCUAUUUCUAGAGAUAGAAAGUUACUUCGGUACAUCGGUGACAGGUGGUGCAUGGUUGUCGUCAGCUCGUGUCGUGAGAUGUUGGGUUAAGUCCCGCAACGAGCGCAACCCCUAUUGUUAGUUGCCAUCAUUCAGUUGGGCACUCUAGCGAGACUGCCGGUAAUAAACCGGAGGAAGGUGGGGAUGACGUCAAAUCAUCGUGCCCCUUAUGACCUGGGCUACACACGUGCUACAAUGGUUGGUACAACGAGUUGCGAGUCGGUGACGGCAAGCUAAUCUCUUAAAGCCAAUCUCAGUUCGGAUUGUAGGCUGCAACUCGCCUACAUGAAGUCGGAAUCGCUAGUAAUCGCGGAUCAGCACGCCGCGGUGAAUACGUUCCCGGGCCU
rnacentral:rRNA from 1 species